rnacentral:rRNA from 1 species
AUUGAACGCUGGCGGCAUGCCUUACACAUGCAAGUCGAACGGCAGCACGGGAGCAAUCCUGGUGGCGAGUGGCGAACGGGUGAGUAAUAUAUCGGAACGUGCCCAGUCGUGGGGGAUAACGUAGCGAAAGCUACGCUAAUACCGCAUACGAUCUAUGGAUGAAAGCGGGGGAUCGCAAGACCUCGCGCGCUUGGAGCGGCCGAUAUCAGAUCAGGUAGUUGGUGAGGUAAAGGCUAACCAAGCCGCCGAUCUGUAGCUGGUCUGAGAGGACGAACAGCCACUAUGGGACUGAGACACGGCCCAGACUCCUACGGGAGGCAGCAGUGGGGAAUUUUGGACAAUGGGCGCAAGCCUGAUCCAGCAAUGCCGCGUGCAGGAUGAAGGCCUUCGGGUUGUAAACUGCUUUUGUACGGAGCGAAACGGCUUCCACUAAUACUGGGGGCUAAUGACGGUACCGUAAGAAUAAGCACCGGCUAACUACGUGCCAGCCGCCGCCGUAAGAC